GUACAAUAUUGUUGGGGUCUUACAAUGUUAUCAAUAAAAGUUAACAACAUGAACAACCAGCUUUCUAAGCUAAGUUUCAGUGGAGAAUUGUGUAGCAAGAUGUGAUUGAUUGCCAUUGCUCAAUCUUUACUAUAAAUCGUGAGACCAUUUCAAGUCGGAAUAGAAAAGUUUUGGUUUCGUGGCUUCUUGUCAAAAAGGGUAAAUUUCAGGGGUU